rnacentral:rRNA from 1 species
UACGUAGGGGGCUAGCGUUGUCCGGAAUCAUUGGGCGUAAAGCGCGUGUAGGCGGUCCGGUAAGUCCGCUGUGAAAGUCGGGGGCUCAACCCUCGAAUGCCGGUGGAUACUGUCGGGCUAGAGUGCGGAAGAGGCGAGUAGAAUUCCUGGUGUAGCGGUGAAAUGCGCAGAUAUCAGGAGGAACACCAAUUGCGAAGGCAGCUCGCUGGGACGUAACUGACGCUGAGACGCGAAAGCGUGGGGAGCAAACAGG